UACGAAGGGGGCUAGCGUUGCUCGGAAUUACUGGGCGUAAAGCGCACGUAGGCGGUUUCUUAAGUCGGGGGUGAAAUCCUGGAGCUCAACUCCAGAACUGCCUUCGAUACUGGGAACUUGAGUCCGGGAGAGGUGAGUGGAACUGCGAGUGUAGAGGUGAAAUUCGUAGAUAUUCGCAAGAACACCAGUGGCGAAGGCGGCUCACUGGCCCGGUACUGACGCUGAGGUGCGAAAGCGUGGGGAGCAAACAGG
rnacentral:rRNA from 1 species